UAAACUUUAGAAAAAAAUGUUGUAGCAACGCAUGCGUUCUCCGAAUUUUUAAUCUUAUUGUUUUCAGUUUCAACUAUUCCAUGUGUAAGUGAUGUUGGCAACUAUUACAAAAAAACGUCUUCCUUCUGGACGAAGGAAUACAAGGCGGAGCAGGAAAAUGUGAAGCUGGUUAAGGAAACAACGCGUGAUUUGAUCGAGCGGAAAAAAGAGCAAAUUACGUGUCAAUUAGAAGUCUAAGAGGAAAAAAAGCGGCCGUUUCUUGACGUCCUUGUUGAGAAAUAUUUGAAUAAGGAACUGAGUUAUCAGGAAUUGGAGGAUGAAGUUAACACGUUUCUCUUGGGUGUAAUUUUUUGUAAUGUUUUUGGUUCUGACACGAAUGCGACGGCGGGUUGUUUCGUUUUGACGCUUUUAGGGAUGCACCAAGACG